UUUCCGUUGGUGAACCAGCGGAAGGAUCAUUAAUGAGAUCAUGCCCUUCGGGGUAGACCUCCCACCCUCUGUAUACAAUACCUUUGUUGCUUUGGCGGCCCCGUCGCAAGACAACCGGCUCCGGCUGGUCAGCGGCCGCCAGAGGACCCCAACUCUGUGUUUAGUGUCGUCUGAGUACUAUUUUAAUACGUUAAAACUUUCAACAACGGAUCUCUUGGUUCUGGCAUCGAUGAAGAACGCAGC
rnacentral:misc_RNA from 1 species